GAUGAACGCUGGCGGCGUGCUUAACACAUGCAAGUCGAACGGAAAGGCUCCUGCUUGCAGGGGUACUCGAGUGGCGAACGGGUGAGUAACACGUGGGUGAUCUGCCCUGCACUUCGGGAUAAGCCUGGGAAACUGGGACUAAUACCGGAUAGGACGAUGGUUUGGAUGCCAUUGUGGAAAGUUUUUCGGUGUGGGAUGAGCUCGCGGCCUAUCAGCUUGUUGGUGGGGUAAUGGCCUACCAAGGCGUCGACGGGUAGCCGGCCUGAGAGGGUGUACGGCCACAUUGGGACUGAGAUACGGCCCAGACUCCUACGGGAGGCAGCAGUGGGGAAUAUUGCACAAUGGGCGCAAGCCUGAUGCAGCGACGCCGCGUGGGGGAUGACGGCCUUCGGGUUGUAAACUCCUUUCGCUAGGGACGAAGCGCAAGUGACGGUACCUGGAGAAGAAGCACCGGCUAACUACGCG
rnacentral:rRNA from 1 species